rnacentral:rRNA from 1 species
ACGCUCGACACCUACGGGAAGCAGCAGUAGGGAAUCUUCCACAAUGGACGCAAGUCUGAUGGAGCAACGCCGCGUGAGUGAAGAAGGUCUUCGGAUCGUAAAACUCUGUUGUUAGAGAAGAACACGAGUGAGAGUAACUGUUCAUUCGAUGACGGUAUCUAACCAGCAAGUCACGGCUAACUACGUGGCAGCAGCCGCGGUAAUCUGAGCGGGCUGGCAAGGC